AUGGCGGUGGGAGAGGGGACAAGGUGUGUAGGGGAGGCAGCCUCCGCCAAGCUUUGUGGGGUCAGAAGGGGAGAAUGGGGAGAGCUGAGCCAGAUGAGCAGAUACUGGUGGAAGUUCCCUCAAUACAGCAGGACCAAUUCUGCGGUCAGUUUUGGCCCGAUGGUGCUGAGCAGGGAGCAGCAAACAGGUCGGAUCCAAAGGCCGCUCUGUGCACAGCCGGCGCUGGGCCUCGGUACUCAUUGCUUUGUCUGCAGGCCCACUCUGUUCUCCAGCCUCGUUACAUGGGUUUCUGUCUCUCCUCAGCAUCCCCUUGAAUGGCAUCUACUGCACAUAACUUUUUCAGCCCACAAAGCUGAAACACUUUCUGUGACUCAAAUGGCUUCAGCACAGCUAUUCCCUAGAAAACAUCCUCCCUGAUUUCUUGUGGCGCCUGUUAGAUUGCUGAAGUUGCAGCAAAGACAUGGAAAAAACACUGAGGUCUUAUUGCUCCUGUUGGAAACUUCUGCCGACUACAGCAAGAGUUGGACUGGGCCCAGAGAAACCAAAUACACACAAGUUGCAAUGAGUUGGCUAUACAAGCAAGGAAAAUCACAGAUAACAGAUGCACACAAAUUAGUAAUGUACCUUUUAGGUCAUCCAGUACAGCUUGCUGACACAUUGAGAUUGUCUCCUAUGGCAUAUUUUUGGUUGCUUUGGAUGCCUGGAUCAAAUGUCCUAAGUAAUAUCAUGUACUUAAGGAGAGAUUGUGCUGCCUAGUAUAUCCUGCUAGAAGUUUUUUUUCCUUUCUUAACAUCAUCAUAUUUCUCCCAGUUACAUUCCUUUGCAAACCUCCUUAUUUCCUUUCUACAAUGCUAUUUUUCUCCAGUGUCUUUAGAUUAAUGUGAUGUUCCAUUUAGUUAACAUUAAGUCUGUUCAUACCUAUUUAGAUCAUUUAAUCUUUUCUGAUAAAUCAGUCUUUUCAGUCUCCUGGUUAUUUUCUCAUCUCCUCUUGUCCCACUCCUGUCUGUCAGUAUUUUUUUUAGCUAUAAGAUUUUAAAGAUUGUAUAGAUUUAAAGAGUGCAUUUAUCUGAACUAACAGCAGGUCUGGCACAGACUUGAGCACCCUCAAUAUUUUCUCACUGAAAACCACUUCUGAUGCGCUCAAGGGAAAGACACUGGCAUUCUGAGCAGACAAGCAGGCAGAGCAUCCUGUUCAAACCAUUUCCUUGGUACCACCUGCUUUACUGAUCAGCAACAACAAAAAACAUUAAAACAUUUAGCCUAGUGAUUCAAAAACCAAAUAUUGGUCACUGUAGAUUAAUUAUAUUUGUAUUCAUAAUGCUAGGAUAUAUAAUGGCAGAGAGGAAAAUAUAUUUGCUCUUGAUAUUUUCAAACUCUUGGUCGUGGACAUCACAAUCUAAAAUUAUGGAAGACGUUGUCUUGUCUAGUAACUACAUUUGGGUGCCACUGCAGUACACUGUAGAAAGUAAUUAUAUAUGUAGUCACAAGCCUAGCUUUUCACUUCAGGCAAUAAAUUCUGAUCAACAAACA
ensembl:lncRNA